GGGGAUGAAAGGCUUUCGACAGGGUCAUUGAACCUCGGUCAGCGGGUAGCGGAGUUGCACCGCUUAAAAAGUAACAACUUAAAAUUAACUGACACUAAUAAGACAGUUUUAAAGGCUGCGUAAGCACCCUUUCGUCCUGCAUAAGAAUGCCGCGGCUUGUGUAAGGGCGUCGACUUAGCGGCGAACAUGAACAGGGGAGCGUCCCGACCUCUGUCAGGUAAUAGGGGCUACCGUAACCGAUAGGCUGUUUGCUGCCGCUCGGCGAGGGGAAUCUCAAACAACAAACUACACCCGUAGAACCCUUGGGAAUAUGGUUUUGGACAUGGGUUCGACUCCCAUCAUCUCCACCA
rnacentral:tmRNA from 1 species